rnacentral:lncRNA from 1 species
ACCUCCAAUUUCAAAAUAAAACGUUUUAGAAAAAUCUCAAUAAUACACCUGGUGUGCUCCAAUUAGCUGCUCCAACUCUACUUGUUUACACUUUACACUCUCAAAAUUGAUGAUGGGCAAUAUAAUACAGGCGAGUUCGGUCGUAUUCAUUGCACAUAUCUACAGCUGGCAUAAGUGCUACAAUAUCUAAGAACAAGGAUACACUACCACCUCGUCGUUUCCGGCUCUCUGAUUGCUCGUU